UACGUAGGGGGCUAGCGUUGUCCGGAAUCAUUGGGCGUAAAGCGCGUGUAGGCGGCCCGGUAAGUCCGCUGUGAAAGUCGGGGGCUCAACCCUCGGAUGCCGGUGGAUACUGUCGGGCUUGGAGUACGGAAGAGGCGAGUGGAAUUCCUGGUGUAGCGGGUGAAAUGCGCAGAUAUCAGGAGGAACACCAAUUGCGAAGGCAGCUCGCUGGGACGUUACUGACGCUGGAGACGCGAAAGCGUGGGGAGCAAACAGGAU
rnacentral:rRNA from 1 species